AUGAACGCUAGCUACAGGCUUAACACAUGCAAGUCGAGGGGCAUCAGGAAGAAAGCUUGCUUUCUUUGCUGGCGACCGGCGCACGGGUGAGUAACACGUAUCCAACCUGCCCUUUACUCGGGGAUAGCCUUUCGAAAGAAAGAUUAAUACCCGAUGGCAUAAUGAUUCCGCAUGGUUUCAUUAUUAAAGGAUUCCGGUAAAGGAUGGGGAUGCGUUCCAUUAGGUUGUUGGUGAGGUAACGGCUCACCAAGCCUUCGAUGGAUAGGGGUUCUGAGAGGAAGGUCCCCCACAUUGGAACUGAGACACGGUCCAAACUCCUACGGGAGGCAGCAGUGAGGAAUAUUGGUCAAUGGGCGCUAGCCUGAACCAGCCAAGUAGCGUGAAGGAUGAAGGCUCUAUGGGUCGUAAACUUCUUUUAUAUAAGAAUAAAGUGCAGUAUGUAUACUGUUUUGUAUGUAUUAUAUGAAUAAGGAUCGGCUAACUCCGUGCCAGCAGCCGCGGUAAUACGGAGGAUCCGAGCGUUAUCCGGAUUUAUUGGGUUUAAAGGGAGCGUAGGUGGACUGGUAAGUCAGUUGUGAAAGUUUGCGGCUCAACCGUAAAAUUGCAGUUGAUACUGUCAGUCUUGAGUACAGUAGAGGUGGGCGGAAUUCGUGGUGUAGCGGUGAAAUGCUUAGAUAUCACGAAGAACUCCGAUUGCGAAGGCAGCUCACUGGACUGCAACUGACACUGAUGCUCGAAAGUGUGGGUAUCAAACAGGAUUAGAUACCCUGGUAGUCCACACAGUAAACGAUGAAUACUCGCUGUUUGCGAUAUACAGUAAGCGGCCAAGCGAAAGCAUUAAGUAUUCCACCUGGGGAGUACGCCGGCAACGGUGAAACUCAAAGGAAUUGACGGGGGCCCGCACAAGCGGAGGAACAUGUGGUUUAAUUCGAUGAUACGCGAGGAACCUUACCCGGGCUUAAAUUGCAGUGGAAUGAUGUGGAAACAUGUCAGUGAGCAAUCACCGCUGUGAAGGUGCUGCAUGGUUGUCGUCAGCUCGUGCCGUGAGGUGUCGGCUUAAGUGCCAUAACGAGCGCAACCCUUAUCUUUAGUUACUAACAGGUUAUGCUGAGGACUCUAGAGAGACUGCCGUCGUAAGAUGUGAGGAAGGUGGGGAUGACGUCAAAUCAGCACGGCCCUUACGUCCGGGGCUACACACGUGUUACAAUGGGGGGUACAGAAGGCAGCUAGCGGGUGACCGUAUGCUAAUCCCAAAAGCCUCUCUCAGUUCGGAUCGAAGUCUGCAACCCGACUUCGUGAAGCUGGAUUCGCUAGUAAUCGCGCAUCAGCCACGGCGCGGUGAAUACGUUCCCGGGCCUUGUACACACCGCCCGUCAAGCCAUGGGAGCCGGGGGUACCUGAAGUACGUAACCGCAAGGAUCGUCCUAGGGUAAAACUGGUGACUGGGG
rnacentral:rRNA from 1 species